rnacentral:rRNA from 1 species
AGAGUUUGAUCCUGGCUCAGAUUGAACGCUGGCGGCGUGCUUAACACAUGCAAGUCGAACGGCAGCGCGGGGAGCUUGCUCCCUGGCGGCGAGUGGCGGACGGGUGAGUAAUACGUGGGAAUCUGCCUGAUAGUGGGGAACAACCCGAGGAAACUCGGGCUAAUACCGCAUACGCCUUACGAGGGAAAGCGGGGGACCUUCGGGCCUCGCGCUAUCAGAUGAGCCCGCGUCCGAUUAGCUUGUUGGUGAGGUAAUGGCUCACCAAGGCGACGAUCGGUAGCUGGUCUGAGAGGAUGAUCAGCCACACUGGGACUGAGACACGGCCCAGACUCCUACGGGAGGCAGCAGUGGGGAAUAUUGGACAAUGGGCGAAAGCCUGAUCCAGCAACGCCGCGUGAGGGAUGAAGGCCUCUGGGCUGUAAACCUCUUUUCUCAAGGAAGAAGAUCUGACGGUACUUGAGGAAUAAGCCACGGCUAAUUCCGUGCCAGCAGCCGCGGUAAUACGGGAGUGGCAAGCGUUAUCCGGAAUUAUUGGGCGUAAAGCGUCCGCAGGCGGCCCUUCAAGUCUGCUGUUAAAACGUGGAGCUUAACUCCAUCAUGGCAGUGGAAACUGUUGGGCUUGAGUGUGGUAGGGGCAGAGGGAAUUCCCGGUGUAGCGGUGAAAUGCGUAGAUAUCGGGAAGAACACCAGUGGCGAAGGCGCUCUGCUGGGCCAUAACUGACGCUCAUGGACGAAAGCCAGGGGAGCGAAAGGGAUUAGAUACCCCUGUAGUCCUGGCCGUAAACGAUGAACACUAGGUGUCGGGGGAAUCGACCCCCUCGGUGUCGUAGCCAACGCGUUAAGUGUUCCGCCUGGGGAGUACGCACGCAAGUGUGAAACUCAAAGGAAUUGACGGGGGCCCGCACAAGCGGUGGAGUAUGUGGUUUAAUUCGAUGCAACGCGAAGAACCUUACCAGGGUUUGACAUCCUGCGAAUCUCUUGGAAACGAGAGAGUGCCUUCGGGAACGCAGUGACAGGUGGUGCAUGGCUGUCGUCAGCUCGUGUCGUGAGAUGUUGGGUUAAGUCCCGCAACGAGCGCAACCCACGUCUUUAGUUGCCAGCAUUUAGUUGGGCACUCUAGAGAGACCGCCGGUGAUAAACCGGAGGAAGGUGUGGAUGACGUCAAGUCAUCAUGCCCCUUACAUCCUGGGCUACACACGUACUACAAUGCUACGGACAAAGAGCAGCAAGUUCGCGAGGACAAGCAAAUCUCAUAAACCGUGGCUCAGUUCAGAUCGUAGGCUGCAACUCGCCUACGUGAAGGAGGAAUCGCUAGUAAUCGCAGGUCAGCAUACUGCGGUGAAUACGUUCCCGGGCCUUGUACACACCGCCCGUC